rnacentral:rRNA from 1 species
UACAGAGGGGGCAAGCGUUGUUCGGAAUUACUGGGCGUAAAGGGCGCGUAGGCGGCCUUCUAAGUCGAACGUGAAAUCCCCGGGCUCAACCCGGGAACUGCGUCCGAUACUGCUAUGACUCGAGUCCGGUAGGGGAGUGCGGAAUUCCUGGUGUAGCGGUGAAAUGCGCAGAUAUCAGGAGGAACACCGGUGGCGAAGGCGGCACUCUGGGCCGGAACUGACGCUGAGGAGCGAAAGCGUGGGGAGCGAACAGG